rnacentral:sRNA from 1 species
GCCAGGUGUGGUGACACACACCUGUAAUCCCAGUGGCUCAGGAGGCUGAGGCAGGAGGAUCGAAGGUUCAAAGCCAGCCUCAG